GCCCCUGUGGUGGAAUUGGUAGACGCGACCGACUCAAAAUCGGUUGGAGAAAUCCGUGCCAGUUCGAGUCUGGCCAGGGGCACCA
rnacentral:tRNA from 4 species